rnacentral:rRNA from 1 species
AGAGUUUGAUCAUGGCUCAGAACGAACGCUGGCGGCAGGCUUAACACAUGCAAGUCGAGCGAGGACUUCGGUCCUAGCGGCGGACGGGUGAGUAACGCGUGGGAACGUGCCCCUUUCUUCGGAAUAGCCUCGGGAAACUGGGAGUAAUGCCGGAUACGCCGGAUCAUCGAGAGAUGGUUUGGGAAAGAUUUAUCGGAGAGGGAUCGGCCCGCGUUGGAUUAGGUAGUUGGUGGGGUAAUGGCCUACCAAGCCGACGAUCCAUAGCUGGUUUGAGAGGAUGAUCAGCCACACUGGGACUGAGACACGGCCCAGACUCCUACGGGAGGCAGCAGUGGGGAAUCUUGGACAAUGGGGGCAACCCUGAUCCAGCCAUGCCGCGUGAACGAUGAAGGCCUUAGGGUUGUAAAGUUCUUUCAGCGGGGAAGAUAAUGACGGUACCCGCAGAAGAAGCCCCGGCUAACUCCGUGCCAGCAGCCGCGGUA